rnacentral:lncRNA from 1 species
GUUUGCUAGGCCCCAGCAUAGCCUUAUAAGAGACAGCUAUAUCUGGGUCCUUUCAGCAAAAUCUUGCUAGUGUAUGCAAUGGUGUCAGCGUUUGGAAGCUGAUUAUGGAAUGGAUCCCUGGAGAGUUUCAUUUCUUUGGGUAAGAUAGAGGUAGUGUGUGAGUGUGUGUGUAGUGUGAUGAUCCCCCUGUGUGUGUGUGUAUGUGUGUGUAGUAUGAUGAUCCCCCUAUGUGUGUGUAGUGUGAUGAUCCCCCUGUGUGUGUAUGUGUGUGUAUGUGUAGUAUGAUGAUCCCCCUGUGUGUGUAUGUGUGUGUAUGUGUAGUGUGAUGAUCCCUGUGUGUAUGUGUAGUGUGAUGAUCCCCCUGUGUGUGUAUGUGUGUGUAUGUGUAGUGUGAUGAUCCCUCUGUGUGUGUGUGUGUAGUGUGAUGAUCCCCGUGUGUGUGUGUGUGUGUGUGUGUGUGUUAUGAUGAUCCCCCUGUGUGUGUGUAGUGUGAUGAUCCCCGUGUGUGUGUGUAGUGUGAUGAUUCCCCUGUGUGUGUGUGUAUGUGUGUGUAGUAUGAUGAUCCCCCUGUGUGUGUAUGUGUGUGUAUGUGUGUGUAUGUGUAGUGUGAUGAUCCCUCUGUGUGUGAGUGUGUGUGUGUAGUGUGAUGAUCCUCCUGUGUGUGUGUGGUGUGAUGAUCCCCCUGUGUGUGUGUGUGUGUGUGUAGUCUGAUGAUCCUCCUAAUCAAGCUUGCUCAAACUGAGCUCACCAUGUAGCAGAGGGUGACCUUGAACUCUUGAGCUCUCUGCCUUCUCCCCAGCUGCUGAGAUUGCAGCCUGUGCUACCAUGGCCUUCAGCUUUCGUUUCCCUUUUCAGACGUUUUCUUGCACUUAAUAAAAAAAUCAUUCUCCAGGUGUGAUGGCGCAUACCUUUAAUCCCA